ensembl:snRNA U4 U4 spliceosomal RNA
AGCUUUGCGCAGUGGCAGUAUCGUAGCCUAUGAGGUCUAUCCGAGGCGCGAUUAUUGCUAGUUGAAAACUUUACCCAAUACCCCGCCUUGACGACUUGAAAUAUAGUCGGCAACGGCAGUUUUUGACAGUCUCUAAGGAGA